rnacentral:rRNA from 1 species
AUUGAACGCUGGCGGCAGGCCUAACACAUGCAAGUCGAACGGCAGCACAGAAGAGCUUGCUCUUUGGGUGGCGAGUGGCGGACGGGUGAGUAAUGUCUGGGAAGCUGCCCGAUGGAGGGGGAUAACUACUGGAAACGGUAGCUAAUACCGCAUAACGUCGCAAGGCCAAAGUGGGGGACCUUCGGGCCUCACACCAUCGGAUGUGCCCAGAUGGGAUUAGCUAGUAGGUGGGGUAAUGGCUCACCUAGGCGACGAUCCCUAGCUGGUCUGAGAGGAUGACCAGCCACACUGGAACUGAGACACGGUCCAGACUCCUACGGGAGGCAGCAGUGGGGAAUAUUGCACAAUGUGCGCAAGCCUGAUGCAGCCAUGCCGCGUGUAUGAAGAAGGCCUUCGGGUUGUAAAGUACUUUCAGCGGGGAGGAAGGCGGUGAGGUUAAUAACCUUGCCGAUUGACGUUACCCGCAGAAGAAGCACCGGCUAACUCCGUGCCAGCCGCCGCGGUAAAAC